rnacentral:rRNA from 1 species
GAUGAACGCUGGCGGCGUGCCUAAUACAUGCAAGUCGAGCGAACAGACGAGGAGCUUGCUCCUCUGACGUUAGCGGCGGACGGGUGAGUAACACGUGGAUAACCUACCUAUAAGACUGGGAUAACUUCGGGAAACCGGAGCUAAUACCGGAUAAUAUAUUGAACCGCAUGGUUCAAUAGUGAAAGACGGUUUUGCUGUCACUUAUAUAUGGAUCCGCGCCGCAUUAGCUAGUUGGUAAGGUAACGGCUUACCAAGGCGACGAUGCGUAGCCGACCUGAGAGGGUGAUCGGCCACACUGGAACUGAGACACGGUCCAGACUCCUACGGGAGGCAGCAGUAGGGAAUCUGCCGCAAUGGGCGAAAGCCUGACGGAGCAACGCCGCGUGAGUGAUGAAGGUCUUCGGAUCGUAAAACUCUGUUAUUAGGGAAGAACAAAUGUGUAAGUAACUAUGCACGUCUUGACGGUACCUAAUCAGAAAGCCACGGCUAACUACGUG